GAUGAACGCUGGCGGCGUGCCUAAUACAUGCAAGUCGAGCGAACAGACGAGGAGCUUGCUCCUCUGACGUUAGCGGCGGACGGGUGAGUAACACGUGGAUAACCUACCUAUAAGACUGGGAUAACUUCGGGAAACCGGUGCUAAUACCGGAUAAUAUAUUGAACCGCAUGGUUCAAUAGUGAAAGACGGUUUUGCUGUCACUUAUAGAUGGAUCCGCGCCGCAUUAGCUAGUUGGUAAGGUAACGGCUUACCAAGGCAACGAUGCGUAGCCGACCUGAGAGGGUGAUCGGCCACACUGGAACUGAGACACGGUCCAGACUCCUACGGGAGGCAGCAGUAGGGAACCUUCCGCAAUGGGCGAAAGCCUGACGGAGCAACGCCGCGUGAGUGAUGAAGGUCUUCGGAUCGUAAAACUCUGUUAUUAGGGAAGAACAAAUGUGUAAGUAACUAUGCACGUCUUGACGGUACCUAAUCAGAAAGCCACGGCUAACUACGUG
rnacentral:rRNA from 1 species